rnacentral:rRNA from 1 species
CCUACGGGAGGCAGCAGUGAGGAAUUUUGGUCAAUGGCCGGAAGGCUGAACCAGCCAUGCCGCGUGAAGGUCAGUGCCCUAUGGGCGUUAAACUUCUUUUGUGCGGGAGCAAUCAUGGUCACGUGUGGCCAGACGAGAGUACCGUACGAAUAAGCAUCGGCUAACUCCGUGCCAGCAGCCGCGGUAAUACGGGGGAUGCAAGCGUUAUCCGGAUUUAUUGGGUUUAAAGGGUGCGUAGGCUGGGAGGUAAGUCAGCGGUGAAAUGCCCCCGCUCAACGGGGUGAAGUGCCAUUGAUACUGCCUGGCUGGAAUGCGGAUGCGGUGGGAGGAAUGUGUGGUGUAGCGGUGAAAUGCAUAGAUAUCACACAGAACACCGAUUGCGAAGGCAUCUCACGAAUCCGCGAUUGACGCUGAUGCACGAAAGCGUGGGUAUCAAACAGGAUUAGAUACCCGUGUAGUC